rnacentral:rRNA from 1 species
UACGGAGGGAGCUAGCGUUGUUCGGAAUUACUGGGCGUAAAGCGCACGUAGGCGGCUUUGUAAGUCGGGGGUGAAAGCCUGUGGCUCAACCACAGAAUUGCCUUCGAUACUGCAUGGCUUGAGACCGGAAGAGGUAAGUGGAACUGCGAGUGUAGAGGUGAAAUUCGUAGAUAUUCGCAAGAACACCAGUGGCGAAGGCGGCUUACUGGUCCGGUUCUGACGCUGAGGCGCGAAAAGCGUGGGGAGCAAACAGG